UACAGAGGUCCCAAGCGUUGUUCGGAUUCACUGGGCGUAAAGGUUGCGUAGGUGGUGGGGUAAGUUUGAUGUGAAAGCUCCGGGCUUAACCCGGAAAUGGCAUUGAAUACUAUCUCGCUUGAGGGUUGGAGGGGAGACUGGAAUUCUUGGUGUAGCAGUGAAAUGCGUAGAUAUCAAGAGGAACACCAGUGGCGAAGGCGAGUCUCUGGACAACUCCUGACACUGAGGCACGAAAGCUAGGGGAGCAAACAGG
rnacentral:rRNA from 1 species